UUCUCUUCUCAGCUUUUGGGCUAAGAUCAAGUGUAGUCUCUGUUCUUAUCGGUUUAAUAUCUGAUACGUCCCCUACCUGGGCACCAUGUAUUAAAUUGAUUUUUGGAACAGGAAGUUGAAAUAGGGGCUUGCUCCGUCCACUCCAUGCAUUGACAUGGUAUCGCAAUACCUCCAGGAGCGGUGUACCCUUC